rnacentral:rRNA from 1 species
UACGUAGGGUGCAAGCGUUGUCCGGAAUUAUUGGGCGUAAAGAGCUCGUAGGCGGUCUGUCGCGUCGGCUGUGAAAACCCGGGGCUCAACCCCGGGCCUGCAGUCGAUACGGGCAGACUAGAGUGCGGUAGGGGAGACUGGAAUUCCUGGCGUAGCGGUGAAAUGCGCAGAUAUCAGGAGGAACACCGGUGGCGAAGGCGGGUCUCUGGGCCGUAACUGACGCUGAGGAGCGAAAGCGUGGGGAGCGAACAGG